ensembl:processed_transcript
CUGCCACCAUCAGUGUUUUAAUGUUGCAUCGCAUGUAAUGUUGCGUGCAUUUGGCCAUGAGAUUUUUGACAUAAAUCGUAGCUAUUUAUGCAGACUUGUGCUUUUGUAGAUUUUAUCAGCUGGUUUAGAAGUCAGAUAGUGAUGUCACUUCCUCUGCUUGGUGCCAUGAGGUGGUACACCAUACAUAAAUCCAGCCCUGUGUUUACUGGUUGAGUGAGUGGUGAUUUUAUUAGCAUGGUGUAGCUAUUUCACUUGUAAAAGAAUGCAGCAAAAUGUGUUUUGGGUCAUGUGGCAUGACAAAUUAAAAAAGAAAAACAGCUUGCAAUAAGAAUGGAAAGAGAUUUGGAGAUAUACACAAGCAUACACAUAUUAAAAUAAUUAAAAGACCACUUGAAAAUUUGGAUUUUCUCAAAAAUCUUCAAGUUUUUAAACUUAUUUUUGUUCUGUUGACAUGUCUUUCUAAUUUAAAGCACAAAUGUUGUCAAUUAGAUCAUUGCUUAUAAAGAUAAAAAGCUGCCAUUUUUUUCAGAUGUGUAUUAUUAAUAUCUAAACAACAAGAACAAAAAAUGCUAUAAGAAUGGUAGUGUUAUUAAAAAAAAUUGGAUGAGAUGCUAUUAGGCUACAGGAACUUGAACUGACACCUGUGUAUUAGACAAAAGUGAAACAAAUACAUAUGUUGUACUCAAACACACCCAAUAAAUCCUUUAAAAUGUAAGUGGUCUUUAAAAUAUUUUUACCUAGCUGUAUAUUUAUACAUUUAAUGUGUCAAAGACAAAAGUGAUUUUUAUAAAUUGUCAAAAUAUAAUUUUUUU